GAUGAACGCUAGCUACAGGCUUAACACAUGCAAGUCGAGGGGCAGCGCAGUGUAGCAAUACAUAGGCGGCGAUCGGCGCGCGGGUGCGUAACGCGUAUCCAACCUUCCCGUUACUCAGGGAUAGCCUUCCGAAAGGGAGAUUAAUACCUGAUGGUGUUCAAAUUCCGCAUGUUAUUUGAACUAAAGAUUUAUCGGUAACGGAUGGGGAUGCGUGACAUUAGGUAGAUGGCGGGGUAACGGCCCACCAUGCCUACGAUGUCUAGGGGUUCUGAGAGGAAGGUCCCCCACACUGGAACUGAGACACGGUCCAGACUCCUACGGGAGGCAGCAGUGAGGAAUAUUGGUCAAUGGCCGGAAGGCUGAACCAGCCAAGUAGCGUGAAGGAUGAAGGUUCUAUGGAUUGUAAACUUCUUUUAUACGGGAAUAAAACCACCUACGUGUAGGUGCUUGUAUGUACCGUAUGAAUAAGCAUCGGCUAACUCCGUGCCAGCAGCCGCGGUAACAC
rnacentral:rRNA from 1 species